rnacentral:rRNA from 1 species
GAUCCUGGCUCAGGAUGAACGCUGGCGGCGUGCCUAAUACAUGCAAGUCGAACGAGGUAGCAAUACCGAGUGGCGAACGGGUGAGUAACACGUAGGUAACCUGCCCUUAAGCUUGGGAUACCCAGAGGAAACUUUGGCUAAUACCGGAUAACAACAGAGAAGGCAUCUUCUUUGCUUGAAAGGCCCCUUCAAGGGUCACUUAAGGAUGGACCUGCGGCGCAUUAGCUAGUUGGUGAGAUAACAGCCCACCAAGGCGAGGAUGCGUAGCCGAACUGAGAGGUUGAUCGGCCACAUUGGAACUGAGACACGGUCCAAACUCCUACGGGAGGCAGCAGUAAGGAGUUUUCGGCAAUGGGGGAAACCCUGACCGAGCAACGCCGCGUGAGCGAUGACGGUCCUUUGGAUUGUUAAAAAGCUCUGUUGUAAGCCAUGAAUGACAGCUUGAGGAAAUGCAAGUUGUUUGACGACAGCUUACCAGAAAGCCACGGCUAACUACGUGCCAGCAGCAGC